AAGUCGUAACAAGGUAACCGUAGGUGAACCUGCGGUUGGAUCAUUAAUGAAAUGAUUUUAUUGAGGGAUCUCUUUAUGGGAUCACUCUUUACCCAAAAAUUGUGAAUUUGUAUUAGGGUCGAAAGACCUCUUUUAUAUAAACAUUUAAUUUCCAUUUCUUUUUUUAAACAAAGCUAUACCUUUUAGGUAGAAACUUUAAAAACUAAAGUAAAAACAACUUUUGACAACGGAUCUCUUGGCUCUC
rnacentral:misc_RNA from 1 species